GGAAAGAUUCCGAGGAACAGCAUGGAGUCUCUAGGGAGCUGGAACCCUGUGUCACAGCACUAGCCCUCAGCACAUGGGCAGUGUGGGGAGGAGCUCAGGACACCAGGAACACCCACAGAAGAGAAAGAACCACACUGAGGCUGCGGGGUCUGGAGUCUCACAGGGAGGACCCACAGGCUGGGAAGAUGCAUUAAAAAACCCGAAACCUGGCCAGGCAGCUCCUUACAGCACAGACUCAGCAACACCCACCCGGCUCCCUGAGUGCUAGACAGGUAACCACCCUGUGAGAUCCACAAUAGACGCUUGCAUCCCUUGGACUCCGACGCCCACAGGCUAUGGGAUGUUUCCCUAAACACGCUCACGCAC
rnacentral:lncRNA from 1 species